rnacentral:rRNA from 1 species
CCUACGGGAGGCAGCAGUGAGGAAUAUUGGUCAAUGGCCGGAAGGCUGAACCAGCCAUGCCGCGUGAAGGUCAGUGCCCCAUGGGCGUUAAACUUCUUUUGUUCGGGAGCAAUAAUGGUCACGUGUGGCCAGAUGAUAGUACCGUACGAAUAAGCAUCGGCCAACUCCGUGCCAGCAGCCGCGGUAAUAGGGGGGAAGCAAGCGUUAUCCGGUGUUUGUGGGGUUAAAGGGUCCGUAGGGGGAUUUUUAAGUCAGCGGUAAAAUGUUCGGUCUAAACCCGGGCAGGCCGUUGAAACUGGGGAUCGUGAGUGUGCGAGAGGUGUGCGGAAUGCGUGGUGUAGCGGUGAAAUGCAUAGAUAUCACGAAGAACUCCGAUUGCGAAGGCAGCAUACCGGCGCCCAACUGACGCUGAGGCACGAAAGCGUGGGGAUCAAACAGGAGUAGAUACCCCAGUAGUC